rnacentral:rRNA from 1 species
CAGUCGCCGCGGUAAGACGAGCCGUGCGAACGUUAUUCGGAAUUACUGGGCUUAAAGCGCGUGUAGGCGGGUCGGCACGUCGGUCGCUGAAAUCCCCCGGCUCAACCGGGGAAGUGGCGCCGAUACGGCCGGCCUGGAGGGAGGUAGGGGGGCCUGGAACUUCCGGUGGAGCGGUGAAAUGCGUUGAGAUCGGAAGGAACGCCCGUGGCGAAAGCGAGGCCCUGGACCCUUUCUGACGCUGAGACGCGAAAGCCAGGGGAGCGAACGGGAUUAGAGACCCGCGUAGUCCCUGUCUCUUAUA